rnacentral:rRNA from 1 species
UGGGGAAUAUUGCACAAUGGGCGCAAGCCUGAUGCAGCGACGCCGCGUGCGGGAUGGAGGCCUUCGGUUGUAAACCGCUUUGUUCAAGGGCAAGGCAGGCUUUCGGGCCUGUUGAGUGGAUUGUUCGAAUAAGCACCGGCUAACUACGUGCC